AUUGAACGCUGGCGGCAUGCUUUACACAUGCAAGUCGAACGGCAGCGCGGGCUUCGGCCUGGCGGCGAGUGGCGAACGGGUGAGUAAUACAUCGGAACGUGCCCAGUAGUGGGGGAUAGCUCGGCGAAAGCCGGAUUAAUACCGCAUACGACCUGAGGGUGAAAGCGGGGGAUCUUCGGACCUCGCGCUAUUGGAGCGGCCGAUGGCAGAUUAGCUAGUUGGUGGGGUAAAGGCCUACCAAGGCGACGAUCUGUAGCUGGUCUGAGAGGACGACCAGCCACACUGGGACUGAGACACGGCCCAGACUCCUACGGGAGGCAGCAGUGGGGAAUUUUGGACAAUGGGCGAAAGCCUGAUCCAUCAAUGCCGCGUGUGUGAUGAAGGCCUUCGGGUUGUAAAGCACUUUUGGCGGGAACGAAAAGGACUGUGCCAAUACCACGGUUCGAUGACGGUACCCGCAGAAUAAGCACCGGCUAACUACGUG
rnacentral:rRNA from 1 species